CCCUCAGGCUGUUGUUGUGUGGUGGUGGAACAAGGAAAAGAAAGUGAUCACAUAUGUCUGUGUUAGGAGGACAAGAUGGAGAUUAAAGAACUGAUUAUAAGCUGGGUGUCUGUGUUGGCCUUCAUCCUCCUCAUUGUGUUCUUCAUCGCGUGUGGUACACAAAGACUGUGGACUCUCCCUUAUAGCAGACAAUGUGACCCAAAACAUGGUCGUCACGGGAUAUCCGACAGCACCAUAAUUAAGCUGGUAUAUGGUGUGGAAGUGUUUCCUUUCAAAAUUCAGUUUUAUUCGUGAACUUCUGGGGAAGCAGCAAGAGGUGAGCCCGUCAGUAGAAGAGCUGAAGCAAGCACGGACACGACCAUCACGCAAAGUG